GCCCGUGUUGCCUAAUGGUUAAGGCGUUUGCCUUCUAAGCAGAAGAUUGUGGGUUCGAGUCCCAUCAUGGGCU
rnacentral:tRNA from 1 species